GGCGGUGUGCCCGAGUGGCCAAUGGGAGCGGACUGUAAAUCCGUCGGCUUAGCCUACCCAGGUUCGAAUCCUGGCGCCGCCACC
rnacentral:tRNA from 1 species